CCUACGGGAGGCAGCAGUGAGGAAUAUUGGUCAAUGGACGAGAGUCUGAACCAGCCAAGUAGCGUGAAGGAUGAAUGCCCUAUGGGUUGUAAACUUCUUUUAUAUGGGAAUAAAAUGUUCCACGUGUGGGAUUUUGUAUGUACCAUAUGAAUAAGGAUCGGCUAACUCCGUGCCAGCAGCCGCGGUAAUACGGAGGAUCCGAGCGUUAUCCGGAUUUAUUGGGGUUAAAGGGAGCGUAGGUGGAUUGUUAAGUCAGUUGUGAAAGUUUGCGGCUCAACCGUAAAAUUGCAGUUGAAACUGGCAGUCUUGAGUACAGUAGAGGUGGGCGGAAUUCGUGGUGUAGCGGUGAAAUGCUUAGAUAUCACGAAGAACUCCGAUUGCGAAGGCAGUUCACUGGACUGCAACUGACACUGAGGCUCGAAAGUGUGGGUAUCAAACAGGAUUAGAUACCCUAGUAGUC
rnacentral:rRNA from 1 species